GCGGUAACUUUACUGAGACUGGCAGGAGCAGGAAGGCAAGCAGGCAGGCACGGGGCGAGUGAGGCAGAGAAAGAACAGGAGAGGGGAUGGGAGACACCGAGAGAUUAAAAAGACAGUGGAGAAAUAAACUUUAGUAAUGGAUAUCAAGUGUUUAAGAGAGUGAGGAAGUUAAGGAAGUUAUGGGGAAAUAAGCUUGUGUAGAUAUAAGUGGAUAGGUGUUUAAGAGAGUGAGGAAGUUCAGAGACGGUCAAGCCUAGGGCGAAUGCUGGGGGGAGGAGGGGGAGAGAGAGAGAGAGAGAGAGAGAGAGAGAGAGAGAGAGAGAGAGAUGUGACAGGAAGUGCUGAGGGAUGAUGGGUAGAAUAUCGAUAAGGAGAGAGUUUAGUCCAAAUAAGGAUGAGGAAGGAAGGGGAUUGAGAAGCGAGAGGUGUUGCUAAUAAGGACGAGGGAGUAAGAGAAUUGAAAAGUGAGAGGUGUUACUAAUAAGGGUGAGGGAGUAAGGGAAUUAAAAGUCAAGAGAUGUUACUAUUAGGAGAGACUUUAAUCUGAAUGAGGAUGAAGAAGAAAGGGAAUUGAGAAGCGAGAGGUGUUACUGAUAAGGACGAGGGAGUAAGAGAAUUGAAAAGUGAGAGGUGUUACUAUAAGGAGUCAGGAAGGAAGGGGAUUAAGAGGCAAGAGGUGUUAGAUCUGCCUUUAGUCUGAAUGAGGAUGAAGAAGAAAGGGAACUGAUAAGUGAGAGGUGUUACUAUAAGGAGUGAGGAAGGAAGGGGAUUAAGAGGCAAGAGGUGUUAGAUCUGCCUUUCCUCGCCACUCCACGCCGCGCCUCGUCAACUGCCUGCAGGAGGAGCACGCAAGCCAACACAUGGACAGGAGGCAAAAACUUAGCGUCAGAAUACCCCGACCGGCGCUCACUUGGCAUACAGAGGCACGCACAUGAACAGAACACACCCCGAGCCGGCACCAGCACACGCCCCUUCACAGCCUGGCGCACUUCAGAGCAUUAUUGGCCUCACUGCCGCUAUGUUAGGAGUCCACGAUUCACUUUAGUCCUACGCCUGAUUUUUUUAAACGUCGCAUUAGUCUUUAUCAACAACAGUUUGGGUGAUUCGUCUUUUUCAACCCGUUUUUCAAGGCGUGGUUAAUUGGCUUCGUUGAUUUUUCUAUAUCACUUUUUUUUUUAAGACGAGUUUGUAAUAUGUCGACUUAAUUCUGUAAAAAUCCAACACUUCUAGCCAACUCCGUUCCAAAACAAAGAAUUAAAAAGCCAAAUUAGCAACAAAACACUUCAUAAAUGCCCCCAAAUUGGCUUAGGGAAAACACGCUCUACACUCCGAUAUAUCCCCCCGCCUCCUUCCCUGCGUCACCCCUCAUCACCGCGGCUCGAUCACCACUAGAUAGCAUGGCAGGGUACAGGAGGGAGUCAAAGGGCAUAGGCGCGGACCGUUCACACACCACCUUGGCUCACACUCACUGCCGCGGAUCUGUUUCCAAAGCCCGAGCGAAGCGUCUGUUGAGCUCCUUGACGGUGAGGGACGGGGAGGAAACUGCCCUUCAUGGCACGCACUGGGAACACACACACACACACACACACACACACACACACACACACACACACACACACACACACACACGAGGCUAUCUUGAAUGAGGGCAGGAGGAGCAAAAAUUAUGAGUGAGAGAGUGAGUGCGAGGAACAGACGAGGAGAAAAUGAUGGGGGUCAGGCCGGGGCGUUAAUCAGGCAAGCGGUGAGUGAGUGACCACCGGGGUAAGGGGGAGGGGGGGGGGCGGGGCAGCGAGACGGGGUAUGGUUUAUGGCGCAAGUGUGGCAGGUAAACAGUUUAUGCCACAGGUGAGGGGAGGCGUCUGGCGGAUAAGCAAGACUCCCUCCCUGACCCCAUACUCUCAUGAGGGAAGAUGUAACAAUGCUGGAGGGUGGGACGGAGGAGGGGGGGUGAAGGUAGGUUAGUGAGGGGAGGGGAGAGGAGGGUGAAGGUAGGUUAGUGAGGGGAGGGGAGAGGAGGGUGAAGGUAGGGUAGUGAGGGGAGGGGAGAGGAGGGUGAAGGUAGGGUAGUGAGGGGAGGGGAGAGGAGGGUGAAGGUAGGGUAGUGAGGGGAGGGGAGAGGAGGGUGAAGGCAGGUUAGUGAGGGGAGGGGAGAGGAAGGUUGGGGAGGUGUAACAGAGGAAGCAGACAAUACUGGCAGACCCCUCCUCUUCCUCUCCUCCUCCUCCUCCUCCUCCUCCUUCAGUAAUCCCUCUCACUUCCUCCUCCUUUAAUAUACCACCCACACAUCCCUUCUUUUUCCCCUUCAAUAAUUACCACCACCUCCUUUUUCCUCACCCCUUUCCUCUCCUCCUCCUCCUCCUCCUUCUCCAGUAAUCUAUCUCCCUCUCUUCUCACUUCCUCCUCCUCCUCCUCUUCCUCCUUACCCUGUACCACCCACCCAUACCCCUUCAUUAACUAACUAAUCACACCCUCUCAUUUCUCCUCACCCCUUCCCCCUUCCUCUCCUCCUCCUCCUCUUCAUCAUAUACCACCCACACAUCCCCCUCCUUUAAUUAACAACCCCCACCUUCCUCCUCACCCCUUCCCCGACACAACGCCCACACCCCUGUCUUGAUUUACAGUUUCACUCUCAUCCAUUUUCUUUAAUUAUCAAUCCCCAACACCAGUCAUGCCUCAUUCUGUAUAUCAAUAAAACUUUUCCUCUCUCUCUCUCUCUCUCUCUCUCUCUCUCUCUCUCUCUCUCUCUCUCUCU